UACGUAGGUGGCAAGCGUUAUCCGGAAUUAUUGGGCGUAAAGCGCGCGUAGGCGGUUUUUUAAGUCUGAUGUGAAAGCCCCCGGCUUAACCGUGGAUGUGCAUUUGAAACUGGAAGACUUGAGUGCUGUAGAGGGGGGUAGAAUUCCAUGUGUAGCGGUGAAAUGCGCAGAGAUGUGGAGGAACACCGGUGGCGAAGGCGACCCUCUGGACUGAGACUGACGCUGAGGUGCGAAAGCGUGGGGAUCAAACAGG
rnacentral:rRNA from 1 species